rnacentral:rRNA from 1 species
UACGGAGGGUGCAAGCGUUAAUCGGAAUUACUGGGCGUAAAGCGUGCGCAGGCGGUUUGUUAAGUCCGUUGUGAAAGCCCCGAGCUCAACUUGGGAAUUGCAGUGGAUACUGGCAGGCUGGAGUACGGUAGAGGAAGGUGGAAUUCCCGGUGUAGCAGUGAAAUGCGUAGAGAUGUGGAGGAAUACCGAUGGCGAAGGCAGCCCCCUGGGCCAAUACUGACGCUCAUGCACGAAAGCGUGGGGAGCAAACAGG